AUGAAUUCCCUUUUCAACAGGAAAGGAACACAACUUCAGAAAAUACAAUGAAUCAACUGUUACUAAUUUUGGUGUGCAGUAUGACUAUGGAAGUAUAAUGCACUACAGUGCAUACGCUUUUUCGAAGAAUGGGAAUCCCACAAUAACACCUCUUGAAAAUGGAACCAUGAUUGGUCAGCGAGAGGGACUUAGUGAGAAGGACAUAAAGAAGAUUAGAACGAUGUAUGGGUGUUUCAAGUGUGGCGAUGAAGAGAAUUGUGGAGAGGAGGGUGAAGAUAAAUCUGAUGGAGAAUAAGAGGAAGAGUAUUUGAUGUUACUUCCAAGAAUGAAAUAUUUUAAUAGGCUGUAAGAUGUUCAGAAGCUUAUGGCAUUUAUACAAAGAGAACUGAUUAUUAAAUAUUUUGGACAAGAACCUGGAUUUAAAAGACCACAUCCUUGGCAGACUUUACUUACGCAAAUUAUAAUAAACACCAUACAUGUUGUUUGGUAGGUUUUUAAUGACCCCAAGGUUAGUCUAUAAUGACUUGCUGGCCUCUGCUGACCCUAGGUAAGUCUGAGUUGGGGUACCCAUAGGGCAAAUGUCAUUACCCCAAGUGAUAGAAACAUUGGAACCCAGUUAUAAGAUUGUGUUUGUUCAAGCAAGCUUGUUUGCCAUGUAGCUCAGCCUACAGCAAGGUGAGUUGCUUAUAAAAAAUAAUUUUGUUUGUUUUUCAA